CCGCAGGAAGCGUCAGCCGCUUGUGCUGGAUAGCGAAUUUGACAAGAUCAAAGCUGCAGGAAAAUGGACAGUGAGGUUCAGAGAGAUGGAAGGAUCUUGGAUUUGAUUGAUGAUGCUUGGCGAGAAGACAAGCUGCCUUAUGAGGAUGUCGCAAUACCACUGAAUGAGCUUCCUGAACCUGAACAAGACAAUGGUGGCACCACAGAAUCUGUCAAAGAACAAGAAAUGAAGUGGACAGACUUAGCUUUACAGUAACUCCAUGAGAACGUGCCCCCCAUUGGAAACUGACACUUGGCUCCUUUCUUGCUGACGAAUUUUCUAAAAGUACACAGAUAAAAAAUG